AUGGAGAAAGCCUUACUGCCCCUGGCCAUGACUUCUGACCCCAGACCCUUUAAUCAACAACUCCCAGAGCCUCCAGACCCAAAAUGUGUUUUGGAACCCCAAGACAGCCCUGAACUAGCACCCACCCUAGUGUGUGCCCUUUGCUGCUGCUUUGGAAUCAUCUACUGCUGCUUUGGCUACCGCUGCUUCAAGGCAGUGAUGUUUCUUUCCGGCCUGCUGUCAGGAGCUUUGGUGAUCUUCCUGUUGUGCCAUAAAGAGCGAGUGCUGGAAACACAGCUGAGCUUGGAGGUGAGCGCAGGCAUCGCGCUGGGCAUUGGACUCCUCUGUGGCCUGGUCACCAUGCUGGUUCGCAGUGUCGGGCUCUUCCUGACUGGUCUCCUACUAGGCCUGACCCUGGGCGCUGGAGCCUUGUUGGGUACGGAGCCCAUCUACCAGCCACCUUCAGCUUGGGUCCCAGCUGGGGCCCUGGUGGGGCUGGCGCUGCUGGGAGCCCUCCUUACACUUCGGUGGCCACGUCCUUUCACAGUUCUUGGUACAGCCCUGCUGGGUGCUGCAGUGCUAGUGGCCUGUGCGGACUUCUUCCUAGAGGGAUUGGCACUGGGAAGUCGGCUGGGCCAACGACUGCAGGCACUUCCAGCCCUACCGCCUCUCUGCUGGUAUAGCUGGGUCUUACUUGGGGCCUGGCCAGCCCUGGGGACUCUUGGGGCCCUGGCCCAGUGGAAGCUCAUGACUGAGGAACAUGGAGGCCAUACCAGUGUAGUCUUGAGCCACCAGCAAAGGCAUCUCCAACUCCUUCGAAUCCGUCAGCAAGAAGCCAAAUGGCACCGGAGCCCCCCUGGUGUGGGGCUCUGUGAGGGCAGUUACCGCCGCCAGAUGCCCCCAAACACUCGCCAGUUACCCCCCAACACCCGACGCCCUGCUGACAGCCUAGCUCCAAGUUAUCUCCAGAGCCUUCAAGAACGCCAACUGGGGCCAGGCAUCCAGGCCACUGCCCCCCACACUGUCCUGGACCUGGAUUCUGACUGUGGUUCUACUGUUCCACUCAACACACAUUCUGGUUCCAGCCAGACUUGAGCCUAAACUUCCUAUGA